AGGUUAAGUUAGAAAGGGCGCACGGUGGAUGCCUUGGCACUAGGAGCCGAAGAAGGACGUGACGAACAACGAUAUGCCUCGGGGAGCUGUAAGUAAGCUUUGAUCCGGGGAUUUCCGAAUGGGGGAA
rnacentral:rRNA from 1 species